UGUUUCUACAACUUAUAAAUUAACUACAUAGGUUUGUCGAGGCAUGGCUUAGCUUCUACUGAGUUGGGGCAAAAGAAAGUCACACGCAAUUUAUGACUAUGAUCCAACAAUAUCAGGGGAGAAUAUAAGCAAAUAGAUUUUUUAUAAGCUCUUGAUUCCACUUUUGUAAUGGGUGAGUUAUAUAUAAAAGAAACCAAAUAUUUUAAUUGAGUUAGUACAAAUGCUAAUGAACUUUGAUCUUUCCUACAGAGUGCUCAUAUUUUAUACAUUUGACAUACGCAAACGAAAUACUAAAAAAAGUGAUAAAAAUAGUUCAUAUGUCUAAGUUUGAACUUAUUAAGAUAAUCCAAACAGAAAAUAUCAUGUUACUACAGUUUGAAAAGAGAUAAUUAAAACAAAUAGAAUAAUAGUUGGAUUAGUAUUUGAUGUUUUUAUUAUUCUCUGUGUUUGAGUCUUUACAACUAUGAAGCUUUUUUUUUGUUUUUUUUUUUUUGACAGUCCAUGAAGCUUUUUUCAACUAGAGAAAACAAAACAUUUUUUAUAGACCGCAGGUGAAUAAGGUUUUUAUGUAGUAUUCUAUAAGUAUGAAUUAGAAAAUUUAUUUCGUGAGUUUGUCAAAU
rnacentral:lncRNA from 1 species